GCAGGUUGGGUUUGUUACCCCACCUAUACUGCUGGUGAAGCUGUGUGGCUGCUUUAAAUUACUGGGCGGCCCCUUUGUACUCUAUAUAUGGGUAGGGGAUGACUAUUCAUGGUGCAUUUCCUGUUCCCCCUCCUCAUUGCUCCGGGCUCUGACUUCCGUGCCGGCAGCGUUCAGCGUGGAGUUUAGCGCGAUUGUUUGCGUUACUUCUCAAGAGUUUCAGGUAUCUGGUUACAGUAUUAUGGCAUAAUAUGACAGUUUGGCUUAAUUAUUAACUCUCCUUAUUCGCUUGUAGUUGCGUGCUCGUGGUGUUAUUGCCAGUCCAGCGCGGCUGUGUGUCUCUGACUGUGUCAGUGCAGUUUCACUUUCACUAAGGUAUGCCUGCUCCUCUUUGUGUAUGUUUUGGCUGUGUAUAUGGCGUUUAGCUAACUUUUAUUUCUUGGGUUGUGGGUUAGUGAUGGUGACUGUGCUGCUUUGCUGUAGCCAUUGUUCUGCUGGAGCUGCUUUGCUGUAGCCAUUGUCUGCUGGAGCUGCUGUUUGCCCUAGCCAUUACCUGCUGCUGUGUGCUGUGGUCAUUGUCUGCUAUAGCUGCUGGGAGAAACUGAUGCUCUAUACUGGUAUGUAUAUAAGCUGCAUUUAUUUUAUAUUGAGUAUUAGUUAAAUUAAUUGUAGCUUGGUGCAUUUUUUUAUAGGUUUUAGUGUCCAGAUUGUGCUGACUGAUUCCAGCCUCCCCACAGUGCUGCUGUUUUGCCUGAGUUUAUUUAGUUUUGUUUCAUUAAUUUUCAUUUGCUCCUAGUUAUUUUGAGUUUUUGUCUUGCUUUUCUUCAUUUUAUUUGUUAAAUCAGCUUUGAUUUGCCUUUAGUUAUUUUGAUAUUUUGUUGUAUUGAUUUUCUUUUGUCUUUAUUUUGAGUUAAGAUUUGCUGGAGUUUAUUUUUGUGUAUUUUUUUUCUUUAUUGGAUUAAAAUUAUAUUUUUGCUUUAUUUCUGAUUUGCUGUUUUGGACCUUUGAGGUUUAUUCUGGCUUAUUAAUUUGGGAUUUGCUUUGACUUAAUUUCGGGUUUAUUCAUGAUUUACUAAUUUGGGUUUGCUUUUGAUUUCUUUUUGGUCUAUUUCUGAUUUAUUGUGUGGAGUUGCUUUUGACCUAACCUCUGUUUAUUUAAUUUUUUUGCUGAGUUUGCUUCUGAUUUAAUUUAUUUUGCCAGAUUGAACUUUCAUUUGUCCAUUUACUUUAACAAAGUUUAAGUUUGUUUCUGUGUUUUUUUGAAUUAACAAAAACAAGAACAGUGGUUGUGGAAUUCCCUUCUUGGCUGUGUGUUUGUCUUUUUAGUGUUGGAGUGGUAUAAGGUGAGGUUGUAAGAGACCAGGGCCCAUAAAAAGAUAAGUACAUUUCGAGCAAUUGUAAUUGGUCUCUCUCCCUUCACCGCUGGUAGCUUUUAAUAAUUGUUUUUUUUUCUUUGUGUCUCUUAGUUGGACCGGAGCUGUGGGCCAAAGCGGCGGGUUCGGGGAUGUGGAAUGCUGUUCACCUUUCCUGUAGUGUAGAGCACGCUGGGUGUUGAGAUGUGUGGUUUGUAGUGUUGACUAUUUCCUCUUCCUGUACUUUCUUCUGCCGUGGUAAGCCCUCAGCCCAGUUCCUCCCUAAAUUUGUUUUUAGUAAAGUAAAUUCUACUAUUUCUAUUUUUAUACUGUUGUCCAAGAAGGGAGUUUCUGGUCUGCCCUGUGUGUGUGUGUGGAAAUAUGUUUUAAAAUAAUUGUCAAUAAAUUUUCCUUAACUGAUGGUACCCCGUCUCUGGCCUCCGAGUGUGUCGAACCUGGGUGUCUUAUUCUCUCUUAGGCCUUAAGUGCCAGCCCUCUUUUCCUAGAGGUGAAAUCACCUCUGGGUGGCGUAGUCGUGCAUUAUCAAGAUUACUCCUCUCUGCCACA